rnacentral:lncRNA from 1 species
CUUUAGUAUAGAUACCAAUCCUUCUGCUGGGGCAAUCUCAGCAAUCUCUAUCCUUCUUGCAAGUUCAUCAAGAGAAGAAAAGCUGUCAUCUAGUGAUAAAGCUUCCAGUGAGUUGUAAGAUGCUCGUUCAGGUGAAAUAUCUGGGACAGUGUCAAAUUCUUCUUGAUUUGCUAAGUUUGCAAACGAUUCUUCAGUGUCUAUUAUGUUGCCAUUUAAAAAUCUGAGAUACACAUCUUCUCGUUCUUCACUUUUUACCUUCUCC